UACGUAGGCAGCGAGCGUUGUUCGGAAUUACUGGGCGUAAAGAGUGUGUAGGCGGUGCUCUAAGUUCGGUGUGAAAUCUCCCGCUUAACUGGGAGGGUGCGCCGGAAACUGGAGUGCUCGAGCGUGGGAGAGGAAAGCGGAAGUUCCUGGUGUAGCGGUGAAAUGCGUAGAUAUCAGGAGGAACACCUGUGGUGUAGACAGCUUACUGGACCAUGAACUGACGCUGAGGCACGAAAGCGUGGGUAGCAAACAGG
rnacentral:rRNA from 1 species